GGCAGGGUAGCUCAGUUGGUUAGAGCACAGCCUUCAUAAGGCUGGGGUCGCGAGUCCGAGUCUCGCCCCUGCUACCA
rnacentral:tRNA from 1 species